CAAACCAAAGCUGGCGACCGGCGCACGGGUGAGUAACACGUAUCCAACCUGCCUCAUACUCGGGGAUAGCCUUUCGAAAGAAAGAUUAAUAUCCGAUAGCAUAUAUUUCCCGCAUGGGUUUUAUAUUAAAGAAGUUCGGUAUGAGAUGGGGAUGCGUUCCAUUAGUUUGUUGGGGGGUAACGGCCCACCAAGACUACGAUGGAUAGGGGUUCUGAGAGGAAGGUCCCCCACAUUGGAACUGAGACACGGUCCAA
rnacentral:rRNA from 1 species